rnacentral:rRNA from 1 species
AGGAUUAGAUACCCGGGUAGUCCCAGCUUGUAAACGAUGCAGACUAGGUGUUUGGACGGCCACGUGCCGUUCUAGUGCCGCAGGGAAGCUGUUAAGUCUGCCGCCUGGGGAGUACGAUCGCAAGAUUGAAACUUAAAGGAAUUGGCGGGGGAGCACCACAAGGGGUGAAGCUUGCGGUUUAAUUGGAGUCAACGCCGGAAAUCUCACCGGGAGCGACAGCAGUAUGAAGGCCAGAUUAAAGGUCUUGCCAGACGAGCUGAGAGGAGGUGCAUGGCCGUCGCCAGUUCGUGCCGUGAGGUGUCCUGUUAAGUCAGGCAACGAUCGAGACCCGCGUCCACUGUUGCAACUAGCUUUGUGCUGGGCACACUGUGGAGACCGCCACUGAUAAAGUGGAGGAAGGAGCGGGCCACGGCAGGUCAGUAUGCCCCGAAUCUCCCGGGCCACACGCGAGCUGCAAUGGCAGGUACAAUGGGUUCCGACCUCGAAAGGGGAAGGCAAUCUCGAAAGCCUGCCGUAGUUGGGAUCGAGGGCUGUAACCCGUCCUCGUGAGCAUGGAAUCCCUAGUAAUCGCGUGUCAUUAGCGCGCGGUGAAUACGUCCCUGCUCCUUGCACACACCGCCCGUCGUUCCAUCCGAGCGACUCUUGGGUGAGGCGCCGUCUUUCAUGGCGGUGUCGAAUCUAAGUUUCGUAAGGAGGGAAAAGUCGUAACAAG